rnacentral:rRNA from 1 species
CCUACGGGUGGCAGCAGUGAGGAAUAUUGGUCAAUGGGCGGAAGCCUGAACCAGCCAAGUCGCGUGAGGGAAUAAGGCCCUACGGGUCGUAAACCUCUUUUGCCGGGGAGCAAGGGCCGGGACGCGUCCCGGCCCGGAGAGUACCCGGAGAAAAAGCCUCGGCUAACUCCGUGCCAGCAGCCGCGGGAAUACGGAGGAUGCGAGCGUUAUCCGGAUUUAUUGGGGUUAAAGGGUGCGUAGGCGGGCUGUUAAGUCAGCGGUAAAAAUUCGGGGCUCAACCCGGGCCGGCCGUUGACACUGGGGGCCUGGAGUGGGCGAGAAGAAGGCGGAAUGCGUGGUGUAGCGGUGAAAUGCAUAGAUAUCACGCAGAACCCCGAUUGCGAAGGCAGCCUGCCGGCGCCCUACUGACGCUGAGGCACGAAAGUGCGGGGAUCGAACAGGAUUAGAUACCCGGGUAGUC